AUUGAACGCUGGCGGCAGGCCUAACACAUGCAAGUCGAACGGUAACAGGAAGAAGCUUGCUUCUUUGCUGACGAGUGGCGGACGGGUGAGUAAUGUCUGGGAAACUGCCUGAUGGAGAGGGAUAACUACUGGAAACGGUAGCUAAUACCGCAUAACGUCGCAAGACCAAAGAGGGGGACCUUCGGGCCUCUUGCCAUCGGAUGUGCCCAGAUGGGAUUAGCUAGUAGGUGGGGUAACGGCUCACCUAGGCGACGAUCCCUAGCUGGUCUGAGAGGAUGACCAGCCACACUGGAACUGAGACACGGUCCAGACUCCUACGGGAGGCAGCAGUGGGGAAUAUUGCACAAUGGGCUCAAGCCUGAUGCAGCCAUGCCGCGUGUAUGAAGAAGGCCUUCGGGUUGUAAAGUACUUUCAGCGGGGAGGAAGGGAGUAAAGUUAAUACCUUUGCUCAUUGACGUUACCCGCAGAAGAAGCACCGGCUAACUCCGUG
rnacentral:rRNA from 1 species